rnacentral:rRNA from 1 species
ACGCUCGACACCUACGGGAGGCAGCAGUUGGGAAUAUUGGACAAUGGAGGAAACUCUGAUCCAGUGACGCCGCGUGAAGGAAGAAGGUCUUCGGAUUGUAAACUUAUUUUGUCAGGGAAGAAAAAUGACUGUACCUGAAGAAAAAGCACCGGCUAACUACGUGCCAGCAGUCGCGGUAAUCUGAGCGGGCUGGCAAGGC